ACAAUGAGCUAAGUCUGCCGGCGUUCUGAGAAAGGGCUUGAGUUGCCAAUGAUUGGGGGAGAUAUGAUACUUGACAUAAUGUUUCAUCGUCCAAAUGUCAUCAGGAAGAGCGUCAUAAAAGAGAAGCGUCGUCCAACUAUCUUAACGGUGAGAAAUGUGUUUCUGUUUCCCAGAUUCAGAGGAGGGAGAUUAAGAUGAGCGUGCUGGUGAAGCAGCUGACGGAGAGGAAGAAGCGGCACUCUGAAUGUCAGAAGGAGUUGGUCCAAAGAGAGAAGGCUUCGGGGGAAGUCUGCGAGGAGAGGGACGAGCUGAGAGCCAAGAUGGACGACCGGAGCAGAGAGUGUGUCCACCUCAACCAGACCAAAGACAGACUGGAGGCUGACUUGGCUGUGAGCCAUGAGAAACUCCACACCUUGCACCUGGAGGUUCGGAGCAGAGAUCAGUUCAUUCUGCAGUUAAGAGCUGAAAUGAAGACGGCUGAACAAAAGCACGAGAGGAAACAGGAACAGGUGUGUGUGUGGUGGCUUCUUUGUGUCUGUAUGUUGAUUUGCAUUUUUCCUAUCAUUUCCAUCUAUUUCCAUCCUCACCAGGG
rnacentral:lncRNA from 1 species